AUUGAACGCUGGCGGCAUGCUUUACACAUGCAAGUCGAGCGGUAACAGGCCUUCGGGUGCUGACGAGUGGCGCACGGGUGAGUAAUGCAUCGGAACGUGCCCAGAGGUGGGGGAUAACGCAGCGAAAGCUGUGCUAAUACCGCAUGUGAUCUGAGGAUGAAAGCGGGGGACCAGGCAGCAAUGUUUGGCCUCGCGCCUUUGGAGCGGCCGAUGUCAGAUUAGGUAGUUGGUGGGGUAAAGGCCUACCAAGCCGACGAUCUGUAGCUGGUCUGAGAGGACGACCAGCCACACUGGGACUGAGACACGGCCCAGACUCCUACGGGAGGCAGCAGUGGGGAAUUUUGGACAAUGGGCGCAAGCCUGAUCCAGCAAUGCCGCGUGCGGGAAGAAGGCCUUCGGGUUGUAAACCGCUUUUGUACGGAACGAAAAGGCUCUGGCUAAUACCUGGGGCUGAUGACGGUACCGUAAGAAUAAGCACCGGCUAACUACGUG
rnacentral:rRNA from 1 species